rnacentral:rRNA from 1 species
ACGAGGAGCUUGCUCCUCUGACGUUAGCGGCGGACGGGUGAGUAACACGUGGAUAACCUACCUAUAAGACUGGGAUAACUUCGGGAAACCGGAGCUAAUACCGGAUAAUAUAUUGAACCGCAUGGUUCAAUAGUGAAAGACGGUUUUGCUGUCACUUAUAGAUGGAUCCGCGCCGCAUUAGCUAGUUGGUAAGGUAACGGCUUACCAAGGCAACGAUGCGUAGCCGACCUGAGAGGGUGAUCGGCCACACUGGAACUGAGACACGGUCCAGACUCCUACGGGAGGCAGCAGUAGGGAAUCUUCCGCAAUGGGCGAAAGCCUGACGGAGCAACGCCGCGUGAGUGAUGAAGGUCUUCGGAUCGUA